GAAGAAAAGGAUGCUAUACGCCAGACUCAACAAUGCAGAUGAGCUGAAUGCUGCUAUCAAACCAACCUGGGCUUCCAUAACAUCUCAGCAGUGCCACAAACUGAUGACCUCCAGUAAAUUCCA